rnacentral:rRNA from 1 species
UACGUAGGGUGCAAGCGUUAAUCGGAAUACUGGGCGUAAAGCGUGCGCAGGCGGUUUUGUAAGUCUGUCGUGAAAUCCCCGGGCUCAACCUGGGAAUUGCGAUGGAGACUGCAAGGCUAGAAUCUGGCAGAGGGGGGUAGAAUUCCACGUGUAGCAGUGAAAUGCGUAGAGAUGUGGAGGAACACCGAUGGCGAAGGCAGCCCCCUGGGUCAAGAUUGACGCUCAUG